UCUCCGUGUAAACUCUUCAAAAAGGAGGUUUUCGCCAAAUAUGGCCAGCAAUGGAAGAAGAAAUGCAAGAGAUAAUUCUAGGGCUGGUUUUGAAAAGCGUGAAAAGAGGCGCCAGAUAAGGGCACUCCAAGAGGCCAUAGACAAUCAUUCAACAGAGUCAGUACAGAAAAUAUUGGAGAAUGAGUUUGAUGUGGAUUUCCAGUACCGAAGUCAGACGGCUCUGCAACUCUCUGUCAAGGAAGGAUGCUAUGACAUCUGUAAGAUCUUGAUUGACAAGGGAGCUAAUGUGAACAUGGCUGAUGCUGAACAGAACAACUUGUUAAAUAUGGCAGCUUGGAGAGGUUAUUUAGAAAUAGUGGAGCUACUGAUUGAAAAUGGUGCUGACAUUGAUGAUCAGAACAUAAAUGGGUACAGUGCAAUACAUACAUGUGCUUCACGUGGACAGACUGACGUUCUUCAGCUUUUGAUAUCGUCCAAUGCAGAUUUAGAUUCACUAAACAGAAACAGUGAGACUGCUUUACAUGUUGCUGUGAAAGAAAGGAAUACAGAAAUUGUCCAGUUACUGUUGUUAGGGGGAUGCAAAAUGGAUAAAAUUGAUGAGAACAGGAAGACACCACUCAUGUAUGCAGCUCAGUAUGGUUUUGAUGAUGUUGUGCAAAUUUUGAUCAACGGAGGUGCCAGUGUGAAUUUGCAGGAUAAGUUAGGGCGCACAGCUUUGUUUGAGGCAGUGCACAAUGGUCACCUGAAUGUUGUACAAACGCUGGCCAAGAUGGGGGCAGAUGUCAACCUUCCUGUCACUAAAGGAGCUUCUCCACUGUUAGAGAGUAUUAAUCAAGACCACACAGAUAUUGCAGUUUUCCUGAUUGAUGCCAAAUGUAACGUGAAUCAAACUGACAGACUUCAUCAGGCACCCAUACACUCAGCUGUUGCUAAAGUGUCCCAGUUCUUCCAAGAGGAGUCUGAGCAAGCUGUAUUCUUGGUGAGGAAACUUGUUGAGUCUGGCUGUGACCUGAAUGUACCCAACCAGGAAGGAGAACGACCAUUGUAUCAGUGUGCAUGUGGAGGAAGUGUUGGUUAGCAAGGCAUACAACAUCAACAUUAUUUCCUAUCUGAUACAUAAUUGAAUAUUUAGACAGGCGUAUUUUGUGACAGUCUGGCUCUCUUGUUCUGUGUUAUUAUGGUUGGAUGAAGAUCUGCAUUUUAUUUUUGAUUAUGAAACAUGAGCAAGGAUUUCAAGAAGACAACUAUGUUCUGAUUUAAUUUCAAAAUUUCUUCAGAUCAGAAAUGGUGAAGUAUUUGUUAAGUAAAAGAGUUGACUUGAAUGUGAAGACUAAAACAGGUGACACAAUUCUACAUGGUGGUGUCCAUAGCAACAAACCAGAGAUUG
rnacentral:misc_RNA from 1 species